GAUGGUACAACAGGCUGCAUCGGUAAUCUGUAUCAAGAUCCGUUUUGCUUUUGACUGUGAACGCGUCACGGUAGUGGUAGUAUCGAAUAUUCGAAUGUAUACAUCGUUCCAUGUGUUGCCAUCGUGGGCCAUGUCAAGAAUGCGUUGUAAAUAAAUUGCAUCGGAUCAAAAUGAAUACGCAAUAGUUUUAUAGUUUAAGGUCACCUUAUUUUCCUGUCGACGUGGCACCGCGACUGUUUACGUGAACUACUUUACUUACUGAAUAACAACCGUUUUAUUCCAGAUGAUAAAAGUUGUAUUAGGUUUAUUUAAACUCGCCACAGUAAUAAAUGGCUGUUUGCUGCUGUUGUAUUAAAAAAAAAUGUAAUGACCAUAAAUUUUAUUAUAUUUUUAUUGUACAUAAUGUAUAAUAAAUUAAUAAUGAAUAAUGUAAUGUCUGGCAUGCGCCGAUUUAUCAUCAAGCAAGACUUUAUGAUACGAGCGCAUUUGCAGCGCGACAACAAUGAAAAAUUUGAUAGCGGUGAUGAGAUGGUUCUUUGUUCAACCUACACUUCACUAAUGGUAUGGCUCCACCAUUAUUUCUGGCUGUGGGCAGUCACCCACAGCAGAUUACUGAACAACCAUGGAUCACUAUGGGUAUAAUUAACAUCAAAUCUUUGUGGAGAAUUGUGACACCACUCUAAUAAUUGUGGUUUUACAAACAAUUAAAUUGCUGUCUCACAAUUGAAGUAAAAAAAUAUGUAAUAAUACCUAUAUAUACCUGACAACAAUCAUUGGAGCUGGUUACCACUAAACACAAAACAUGUCUCUUAUGGACACAGAUUUCACCAAAAUUAUAAGAAAUCAAAACAAAUUGAUACAGCCAGUAAGAACCAUUUAACAUUUAUACUAUUGGAUUCAAAUGCUAGGUGGAAAUCACCUAACAGUGCACUGUCAAUGAAAAAAAUCUGCAGUAUGUUACAACUCCUAGGAAAAUAACCAACAGUUGCAACACCAUCUUACCAUCAACCAAUAUACCAAUAUUAUGACAAGGACUCCACAUUAUUGAGUUUAUGUGUGUGAAGAAAUUGUUCUGGAUUUUCAUUUCAUAUUUGAAUCAUUAUUCUAUCAAAGUACAUUGGUAAUAUACUUUUAUCGUGUAUUUUAAAUCAUAGUUGUAAGUAGGUAUACUUCCUUAAA